rnacentral:rRNA from 1 species
AGUCGCCACGGUAAUACAGAGGGUGCGAGCGUUAAUCGGAUUUACUGGGCGUAAAGCGUGCGUAGGCGGCUUCUUAAGUCGGAUGUGAAAUCCCUGAGCUUAACUUAGGAAUUGCAUUCGAUACUGGGAAGCUAGAGUAUGGGAGAGGAUGGUAGAAUUCCAGGUGUAGCGGUGAAAUGCGUAGAGAUCUGGAGGAAUACCGAUGGCGAAGGCAGCCAUCUGGCCUAAUACUGACGCUGAGGUACGAAAGCAUGGGGAGCAAACAGGAUUAGAUACCCGUGUAGUCCCUGUCUCUUAUACA